AAGGAUCAUUAAUGAUUUUUUAAGCAAACCAAGCUUUUUUUUUAUAAAAAGUGAGGUUUUGCGAAUGUAUUUAAAACCCCCCCACUCUUAAAAAAUAUAUUUCAUGUAAAAUGAAUAAAAAAAAGAUCACUUUCAACAACGGAUCUCUUGGCUCUC
rnacentral:misc_RNA from 1 species